UAGAGUUUGAUCCUGGCUCAGAUUGAACGCUGGCGGCAUGCCUUACACAUGCAAGUCGAACGGCAGCGCGGACUUCGGUCUGGCGGCGAGUGGCGAACGGGUGAGUAAUACAUCGGAACGUACCCUGUUGUGGGGGAUAACUAGUCGAAAGAUUAGCUAAUACCGCAUACGACCUGAGGGUGAAAGUGGGGGACCGCAAGGCCUCACGCAGCAGGAGCGGCCGAUGUCUGAUUAGCUAGUUGGUGGGGUAAAGGCCCACCAAGGCGACGAUCAGUAGCUGGUCUGAGAGGACGAUCAGCCACACUGGGACUGAGACACGGCCCAGACUCCUACGGGAGGCAGCAGUGGGGAAUUUUGGACAAUGGGGGCAACCCUGAUCCAGCAAUGCCGCGUGUGUGAAGAAGGCCUUCGGGUUGUAAAGCACUUUUGUCCGGAAAGAAAUCGCGCUGGUUAAUACCUGGCGUGGAUGACGGUACCGGAAGAAUAAGCACCGGCUAACUACGUGCCAGCAGCCGCGGUAAUACGUAGGGUGCGAGCGUUAAUCGGAAUUACUGGGCGUAAAGCGUGCGCAGGCGGUUUUGUAAGACAGGCGUGAAAUCCCCGGGCUUAACCUGGGAAUUGCGCUUGUGACUGCAAGGCUAGAGUGCGUCAGAGGGGGGUAGAAUUCCACGUGUAGCAGUGAAAUGCGUAGAGAUGUGGAGGAAUACCGAUGGCGAAGGCAGCCCCCUNNNAC
rnacentral:rRNA from 1 species